GGUAUUUUGACUAUACGAAGGUAUUGAAAUAAGGCUUUAAUUGGGUGCUAAGAGAAUGGUUGGACAAGGAUUGACUUUCUUUAUAUUUAAAAUUGAAGUUGAUUUAAAAAUGAAAAAGUUUUUAUAGAUUUUUAGGACAAGAAGACCCUAUGAAUUUUUUUUAAAAGGUUAUUUAUAAUUUUUAAUAAAUUAGGUAAAAUAAUAAUUUAAGUUGAUUGGGGCGAUUUUUAAAGAAUAUUUAUCUUUAUAAGUUGAUGGAAUUAGAACCAGAAAUUCUGGUUUUUUGAAUAAAAUACUCUAGGGAUAACAGCGUUAUUAUUUUGGAUAGUUCAUAUAGAUAAAAUAGUUUGCGACCUCGAUGUUGGAUUAAGAUACCUUUAUGGUGUAGUAGUUAUAAAAGGAAGUUUGCUCAACUUUUAAAAUCUUACU
rnacentral:rRNA from 1 species